rnacentral:tRNA from 2 species
GCUCCUAUAGCUCAGCCGGUUAGAGCAUCAGACUCAUAAUCUGAGGGUCCCUGGUUCGAGCCCAGGUGGGAGCACCA